GAUGAACGCUGGCUGUGUGCUUAAUACAUGCAAGUCGAGCGAACGUACCAGAAGCCUGCUCCUCUGAUGUUAGCGCCCGUCGGGCGAGUAACCUGUGGACACCCUACCUAUAGGACUGGGUUAACUUAGGGAAACCGGAGCUAAUAUCGGACGAUAUUUUCUACCGCAUGGUUCAAACGUGAACGACGGUCUUGCUGUCAAUCAUAGAUGGAUCCGCGCUGCAUUUGCUAGUUGGUAAGUUAACGGCUUACUAAGGCAACGUAGCAUAGUUGACAGGAGAGGAUGAUCAGCCACUCUGGAACGGAGACACGGUCCAGAGUGCUACGGGAGGCAGCAGUAGGGAAUCUUCCGCAAAGGGCGAAGACCUGAGGGAGCAGCGCCGCGGGAGGGAUGAAGGUCUUCGGAUCGGAAAACUCUGUUAUUAGGGAAGGACAUGUGUGUAAGUAACGGUGCACAUCUUGACGGUACCUAAUCAGAAAGCCACGGCUAACUACGUG
rnacentral:rRNA from 1 species